rnacentral:misc_RNA from 1 species
AAGUCGUAACAAGGUUUCCGUAGGUGAACCUGCGGAAGGAUCAUUACCGAGACGGGUCUCCGGACCCGGGGGCUUCGGCCCCUAUCUCUUCGCCCGAUGUUUACGUACCUUUGUUGCUUUGGCGGGCCUUGAGGUCCCCCUCAAUCCGGCCAGGGGCUCUACAGUCCCGGCCCGAUCGUGCCCGUCAGAGACCCAUCAAACUCUGCUUAUUAGUGACGUCCGAGCGAAACCACAAUAGCAAAAACUUUCAACAACGGAUCUCUUGGUUCUG